UCAAUAAGUUGGCAGAUGUCUACUUUGGUGAAAUUGAGUGUUUUUCAUUCUGUUGUCAUUCUGUUAAAUCAAGAUUCGAGCAAAAUAUGAAGAAAUUAUGGAUCAUCCUAGCACUGGCAUUGGCCACAUUCAUAACAACAGAAGGAACUACGCUGCACAUAUGUGAACACAAUCAUUCCGUGCUAAAAUGCCCACGUGAUUUAAAAAUCCGGGUUACUUUUGCUUAUUACGGACGACAACAUGUGCGGAAUUGCCGAAGCGGACCGAUAAAAACGAAAGAGUGCCACGCUGAAAGCUCUGAGAAAAUCGUAAGACAUCUGUGCGAGAACCGUUCAUCCUGCAAGUUGAGAGCAAACAACAAAAUCUUUGGUGAUCCCUGCGUUGGAACAUACAAAUACCUGAAAGUUAGCUACUGUUGUUCGUAGAAGCAUUUACCCGAAGAAGAGUCUAUCAGCAUCAUGAGAGUCUGGUUGGAAACUAAAAUGUAUAUAUUUGGCUUUGUGUAAAUCAAGCAUGGUCAGAACUCACAUUAGAGCAUAGGCGAAGACUUAUAUUCUUUCGAGGGGGGGGGGGAUGGCGGGGCUUAAAAAUUAAUUGCAAUUGCUAACGGUGGCUGCCUAACGGUGGCUGCCAGUGGCGCAGUGUAGAAAUAUGCCUAGCUAAGAGUUCUAAGGCGAUUUAUUUUACAUUUUUCAUUAUCGUUGUUAUUUGAUCUUGAUUAAAUCUCCUGUGAUAAUUUUUAUCCUUGAAACCAAGAAUAUGAAAAAUUAGUCUAACAAACCGAUAGUCAACUUCUUUAUUUCCCGGGGGCUGAACCUCCUAACUUUUCAUCAGGAGGGGCUCAAGCCCUGGAGCCCCUAAUUCUGCGCCUAUGCAUUAGAGUAUUGUUGUAAGAUUCUUUUCUUAUGUAUUUAAUUCAACAGCAAAAAAUAUUUGUCUGGAAUAAUUUGCUGUUACAAGAGACAAUAUAACCUAAUAAAUGACA